GGUGAUUGUAGCUCAGCUGGUUAGAGCAUUGGAUUGUGGUUCCAAGGGUCGCGGGUUCGAAUCCCGUCUUUCACCC
rnacentral:tRNA from 3 species